UCUGAUACAUGAUGAUCUCAUGGCAACUUGAGCUCUCUCACUGAAUACAUUAUUACAACAAAAGAUUCUGUGUAAAA